UACGUAGGGGGCAAGCGUUGUCCGGAUUUAUUGGGCGUAAAGAGCGUGUAGGCGGCCAUACAGGUCAGCUGUGAAAACUCGAGGCUCAACCUCGAGACGUCGGUUGAAACCGUAUGGCUAGAGUCCGGAAGAGGAGAGUGGAAUUCCCGGUGUAGCGGUGAAAUGCGCAGAUAUCGGGAAGAACACCCGUGGCGAAGGCGGCUCUCUGGGACGGUACUGACGCUGAGACGCGAAAAGCGUGGGGA
rnacentral:rRNA from 1 species